CCCUACGGGGUGCAGCAGGUUGUAGAGGCAUUGCCGGCCGGCAGGACGAUUUCGUACGCUACGGUGCAGACGAUGCUGCGGCGGCUGGAAAAGAAGGGGUAUCUCGCCCAUGAUGUCAAGGGCAAGGCUCACGUUUUUCGACCUCUGGAACACAAAGACAAAGUGCUUCAGUCUGCGGUGACGGGCUUUCUGGAUCGGCUGUUCGGGGGGAUGCGGUGCCGCUGGUACAGUAUCUGGCAGAGCAUAAGCAUAUCAGCACGGAGGAUAUUGACCGGCUCAAAUCGAUUCUUGAUGAUUCGAAGGAAUCUUCCAAAUAAGGAGCGUAUUUAUGGAGACGACGGGAUUAUUUUGGGAUUUUAUAGCAACCCAGAGCGUGCAGGUUGCGAUGGUUUUUGGGGUGGUGGCGGGGGGGC
rnacentral:rRNA from 1 species